rnacentral:lncRNA from 10 species
AGUGAUUAAGUGAGUUAAUGUGGGUUGGGAAGCUCCAUUCUGUAUCACCCUCGCUCAAGGACCUGGACUGAAGGAUUUCUGCUUUCAAGAAGAAAAAAAAAAAUAGAAGACAUGUUUACUAAUACACUGGUAAUUAUUUCUAUUCAUAUUUUAUUGGCCAAAGCGAGUCAUAUGGGUAUACAACAUAAAAUGAGGUGCAGAAUUUCAAUCCUAUCAUUUGCUUGGA